rnacentral:rRNA from 1 species
CAGCAGCCGCGGUAAUGCGUAGGUGGCAAGCGUUGUCCGGAAUUAUUGGGCGUAAAGCGUACGCAGGCGGUUAUAUAAGUCAGAUGUGAAAUCCCCGGGCUCAACCUGGGAACUGCAUUUGAGACUGUAUGGCUAGAGUGUGUCAGAGGGGGGUAGAAUUCCACGUGUAGCAGUGAAAUGCGUAGAUAUGUGGAGGAAUACCGAUGGCGAAGGCAGCCCCCUGGGAUAACACUGACGCUCAUGCACGAAAGCGUGGGGAGCAAACAGGAUUAGAUACCCCGGUAGUCCCUGUCUCUUAUAC